UACGUAGGGUGCAAGCGUUGUCCGGAAUUAUUGGGCGUAAAGAGCUCGUAGGCGGUCUGUCGCGUCGGCUGUGAAAACUCGGGGCUCAACUCCGAGCUUGCAGUCGAUACGGGCAGGCUAGAGUUCGGCAGGGGAGACUGGAAUUCCUGGUGUAGCGGUGAAAUGCGCAGAUAUCAGGAGGAACACCGGUGGCGAAGGCGGGUCUCUGGGCAGUUGCUGACACUGAGGCGCGACAGCGUGGGGAGCAAACAGG
rnacentral:rRNA from 1 species